AGUGAACGCUGGCGGUAGGCCUAACACAUGCAAGUCGAACGGCAGCACAGUAAGAGCUUGCUCUUACGGGUGGCGAGUGGCGGACGGGUGAGGAAUACAUCGGAAUCUACUUUUUCGUGGGGGAUAACGUAGGGAAACUUACGCUAAUACCGCAUACGACCUACGGGUGAAAGCAGGGGAUCUUCGGACCUUGCGCGAUUGAAUGAGCCGAUGUCGGAUUAGCUAGUUGGCGGGGUAAAGGCCCACCAAGGCGACGAUCCGUAGCUGGUCUGAGAGGAUGAUCAGCCACACUGGAACUGAGACACGGGCCAGACUCCUACGGGAGGCAGCAGUGGGGAAUAUUGGACAAUGGGCGCAAGCCUGAUCCAGCCAUACCGCGUGAGUGAAGAAGGCCUUCGGGUUGUAAAGCCCUUUUGUUGGGAAAGAAAAGCAGCAGGUUAAUACCCCGCUGUUCUGACGGUACCCAAAGAAUAAGCACCGGCUAACUUCGUG
rnacentral:rRNA from 1 species